UACAGAGGGUGCAAGCGUUGUUCGGAAUUAUUGGGCGUAAAGCGCGUGUAGGCGGCUUUGCAAGUCGGGUGUGAAAACUCGAGGCUCAACCUCGAGACGUCGGUUGAAACCGUCUGGCUAGAGUCCGGAAGAGGAGAGUGGAAUUCCCGGUGUAGCGGUGAAAUGCGCAGAUAUCGGGAAGAACACCCGUGGCGAAGGCGGCUCUCUGGGACGGUACUGACGCUGAGACGCGAAAGCGUGGGGAGCGAACAGG
rnacentral:rRNA from 1 species